UACGAAGGCAGCAAGCGUUGUUCGGAGUUACUGGGCGUAAAGGGUGUGUAGGCGGUUCUUUAAGUUUGGUGUGAAAUCUCCCGGCUCAACCGGGAGGGUGCGCCGAAAACUGAAGGGCUAGAGUGCGGGAGAGGAGAGUGGAAUUCCUGGUGUAGCGGUGAAAUGCGCAGAUAUCAGGAGGAACACCAAUGGCGAAGGCAGCUCGCUGGGACGGUACUGACGCUGAGGCGCGAAAGCGUGGGGAGCAAACAGG
rnacentral:rRNA from 1 species